CGCCGGCAGACUGUGGUCGGGGGCUUCCUGCUUUUCGUCUAAUACCCAACAACUGGGGCCAAUUUCAUUCUUUAAAACCUCUGUUGCAAACACUGCCAGAAACUGCAGGUUAUGGCUCAGAGGGAAUCUGUGAAGAGCAGGCCCAGCGCCAUCUCCGGGGAAGGGCAGCUGCGGCUGUCAUUCCUAACUGCAAAGCGCGCCCUGUUUCCACGGGCAACAGGACCAGCCCGCGCCCGCCUUAUCUCCUAGCACCCAGCACGUUGCCCGGCAGGCGAGGGACGCUGGGCAGCAAAGUCACAGCGCCUUUCUCACUACAGAGAUGUCUGAUACCGCAGCCAAAGGGGACAGCGAGAAUCCGCGCACGCUGAGCCCUGCCUGACUGCCCCAAGCUCCUGUCGUGUUUCGAACGUGUCAUUUCUCAUCUGUGCCACUCGUGGCGCUGCCUGCACGGGAACUGUGCGGGGAGCGAGCUAUGCAGCAAAGGGCUUGUUUCACACACACAGCCUGCCGUGAGGUGUGGCUGUCUUGCUGUAGGCCAAAAAGCCACAGGACCAACUGACCAAGACCAGAACUGUGAGGCAAAUAAAUCUUUCCUUUCCAGACG
ensembl:lncRNA